CCUACGGGUGGCAGCAGUGGGGAAUAUUGGGCAAUGGGCGCAAGCCUGACCCAGCAACGCCGCGUGAAGGAAGAAGGCUUUCGGGUUGUAAACUUCUUUUCUCAGGGACGAAGCAAGUGACGGUACCUGAGGAAUAAGCCACGGCUAACUACGUGCCAGCAGCCGCGGUAAUACGUAGGUGGCAAGCGUUAUCCGGAUUUACUGGGUGUAAAGGGCGUGUAGGCGGGGACGCAAGUCAGAUGUGAAAACCACGGGCUCAACCUGUGGCCUGCAUUUGAUACUGUGUUUCUUGAGUACUGGUGAGGCAGACGGAAUUCCUAGUGUAGCGGUGAAAUGCGUAGAUAUUAGGAGGAACACCAGUGGCGAAGACGGUCUGCUGAACAGCAACUGACGCUGAGGCGCGAAAGCGUGGGGAACAAACAGGAUUAGAUACCCUUGUAGUC
rnacentral:rRNA from 1 species